CCUUAUAGACUAGAAUAUAUAUAUAUAUACAUACACACACAUAUACAGAUACAUAUAUAUGUGUGUGUGUAUGUGUAUACACACACAAU
rnacentral:miRNA from 1 species